CACUUGGCUAGGCUGCGGAGGGCUGGGCUGGGCUGGGCGGGACUGUGGCUGUUGGGGCUGAUGGGCUGCGGUGUGUUCUGAAAUCCCGGAGAGGGAAAAAUUGGGCAGUUGGGAAGUUCAGUCCGUUGUGGACCAGACUAGCAGAGGAGUUUGUGGAGACGAGCUCGGUCUCCUCUGGGUCCGCGGAGAGGAAGGAAGAGCCCGGGCCUCGGGGCGGGCAGAGCUUGGGGAUCUGGGGCUCCCCGGGAGCUGGGACUGUACCCCCACCCAGGACCUCCCUCUCGGCUGCAUCACUCAUAGUUCUCUAUCUUGGACUGAGUGCCGGAUGAGGUUCGUUCCUCCCAAAUGCUCACAGCAAACCUGAAUGAUCUCAGAGAAAUGGCCUGGCCGGGAACGCUUCAUAAAGAGAAGCAAGAGGGAAAAGAAGAAGACUAAGAGGAGGAAAGAGACCCCUGCAGCCCUGCUUCACCAUUUGUGAAGCUUUUUCCCUGCAGGUGGGGCCUGGGGACUUGAACCUGGGUCUUGGCACGUUGUUAUAUGUGCACUCGGCCAGGUGCAGCCCCACCCUUCACCCCCAUGCACUCUUUCUAGGACAGUAAACUUUGUGGUUGAAUUCUCGAACCAGGAGCUGUGCCACAGGAAUCGUCUAUAUACAUCCUUCAGUCUCCAGCAGUCCCGCUUUUACUUGUGUUCAGAAACAACGUGGGCCGAAUAAAACCAGUCUUCUAGCUACAGAUAUGCAUGUA